CAGCAGCCGCGGUAAGACAGAGGAUGCAAGCGUUAUCCGGAAUGAUUGGGCGUAAAGGGCUCACAGGCGGUUUCUUAAGUCUGAUGUGAAAGCCCCCGGCUCAACCGGGGAGGGUCGUUGGGAACUGGGAAACUUGAGUGCAGAAGAGGAGAGUGGAAUUCCACGUGUAGCGGUGAAAUGCGUAGAGAUGUGGGGGAACACCAGUGGCGAAGGCGACUCUCUGGUCUGUAACUGACGCUGAGGAGCGAAAGCGUGGGGAGCGAACAGGAUUAGAUACCCCGGUAGUCCCUGUCUCUUAUAC
rnacentral:rRNA from 1 species